rnacentral:rRNA from 1 species
GGGCAAGUUCUGGUGUCAGCCGCCGCGGUAAAACCAGCACCUCAAGUGGUCAGGAUGAUUAUUGGGCCUAAAGCAUCCGUAGCCUGCUUUGUAAGUUUUCGGUUAAAUCCAUACGCUCAACGUAUGGGCUGCCGGGAAUACUGCAAAGCUAGGGAGUGGGAGAGGUAGACGGUACUCGGUAGGAAGGGGUAAAAUCCUUUGAUCUAUUGAUGACCACCUGUGGCGAAGGCGGUCUACCAGAAACACGUCCGACGGUGAGGGAUGAAAGCUGGGGGUACAAACCGGAUUAGAUACCCGGGUAGUCCCAGCUGUAAACUAUGCAAACUCAGUGAUGCAUUGGCUUGAUGCCAAUGCAGUGCUGCAGGGAAGCCGUUAAGUUUUGCCGCCUGGGGAAGUACGUACGCAAGUAUGAAACUUAAAGGAAUUGGCGGGGGAGCACCACAAGGGUGAAGCCUGCGGUUCAAUUGGAGUCAACGCCAGAAAUCUUGCCCGGAGAGACAGCAGAAUGAAAGUCAAGCUGAAGACUUUACCAGACAGCUGAAGAGGAGGUGCAUGGCCAAGGCGA